rnacentral:tRNA from 4 species
GCGCCCGUAGCUCAGCUGGAUAGAGCGUUGCCCUCCGGAGGCAAAGGUCUGGGGUUCGAAUCCCUUCGGGCGCGCCA